rnacentral:rRNA from 1 species
UACAGAGGUCUCAAGCGUUGUUCGGAUUCAUUGGGCGUAAAGGGUGUGUAGGUGGCGCGCUAAGUCGGGGUGUGAAAUUUCGGAGCUUAACUCCGAAAUUGCAUUCGAUACUGCCGUGCUCGAGGACUGGAGAGGAGACUGGAAUUCAUGGUGUAGCAGUGAAAUGCGUAGAGAUCAUGAGGAAGACCAGUGGCGAAGGCGGGUCUCUGGACAGUUCCUGACACUGAGGCACGAAGGCCAGGGGAGCAAACGGG